rnacentral:rRNA from 1 species
AACGAACGCUGGCGGCAUGCCUAACACAUGCAAGUCGAACGAGACCUUCGGGUCUAGUGGCGCACGGGUGCGUAACGCGUGGGAACCUGCCCUUAGGUUCGGAAUAACUCCCCGAAAGGGGUGCUAAUACCGGAUAAUGUCUUCGGACCAAAGAUUUAUCGCCUUUGGAUGGGCCCGCGUUGGAUUAGCUAGUUGGUAGGGUAAAAGCCUACCAAGGCGACGAUCCAUAGCUGGUCUGAGAGGAUGAUCAGCCACACUGGGACUGAGACACGGCCCAGACUCCUACGGGAGGCAGCAGUAGGGAAUAUUGGACAAUGGGCGAAAGCCUGAUCCAGCAAUGCCGCGUGAGUGAUGAAGGCCUCAGGGUUGUAAAGCUCUUUUACCCGGGAUGAUAAUGACAGUACCGGGAGAAUAAGCGCCGGCUAACUCCGUG